AAACAGUGCGCUCUACUUAUGGCUCUUCUCGACUCUCAGCACGGCCCUUGCAGGUCAUUACAAUGUCUGCGACGUUGACCCCAGGACAGCGAUGUUUAUGGCAACGGCCAUUGGACGUUCUACGAAUCAUAUAUUUAAGGUCUGUUCCCUCAUAAUCAAAGACCUCCACAAGAAGCUCGAUUCCAGUACAUUUAUUAAGCUCAUAGAUUUUGCAUGUGACAACGGUUAUAUCUGCGUCGAGAAGGUUGGAGAGGAUAUCCCAAAG